rnacentral:tRNA from 1 species
GUCUCAUUAGCGCAGUGGUUAGGGCGCGGCCCCGGAUAGUUUGACACGCGGGUUCGAUUCCCGCCUGGGAUG